UGCAGUCGAGCGGACAGAAGGGAGCUUGCUCCCGGAUGUUAGCGGCGGACGGGUGAGUAACACGUGGGUAACCUGCCUGUAAGACUGGGAUAACUCCGGGAAACCGGAGCUAAUACCGGAUAGUUCCUUGAACCGCAUGGUUCAAGGAUGAAAGACGGUUUCGGCUGUCACUUACAGAUGGACCCGCGGCGCAUUAGCUAGUUGGUGGGGUAAUGGCUCACCAAGGCGACGAUGCGUAGCCGACCUGAGAGGGUGAUCGGCCACACUGGGACUGAGACACGGCCCAGACUCCUACGGGAGGCAGCAGUAGGGAAUCUUCCGCAAUGGACGAAAGUCUGACGGAGCAACGCCGCGUGAGUGAUGAAGGUUUUCGGAUCGUAAAGCUCUGUUGUUAGGGAAGAACAAGUGCGAGAGUAACUGCUCGCACCUUGACGGUACCUAACCAGAAAGCCACGGCUAACUACGUGCCAGCAGCCGCGGUAAUACGUAGGUGGCAAGCGUUGUCCGGAAUUAUUGGGCGUAAAGGGCUCGCAGGCGGUUUCUUAAGUCUGAUGUGAAAGCCCCCGGCUCAACCGGGGAGGGUCAUUGGAAACUGGGAAACUUGAGUGCAGAAGAGGAGAGUGGAAUUCCACGUGUAGCGGUGAAAUGCGUAGAGAUGUGGAGGAACACCAGUGGCGAAGGCGACUCUCUGGUCUGUAACUGACGCUGAGGAGCGAAAGCGUGGGGAGCGAACAGGAUUAGAUACCCUGGUAGUCCACGCCGUAAACGAUGAGUGCUAAGUGUUAGGGGGUUUCCGCCCCUUAGUGCUGCAGCUAACGCAUUAAGCACUCCGCCUGGGGAGUACGGUCGCAAGACUGAUACUCACAGGAAUUGACGGG
rnacentral:rRNA from 1 species